rnacentral:rRNA from 1 species
UGAUGUGGAGGCUAAACUGAAAAAAGUAAGUCUCAGUUCGGAUUGAAGGCUGAAAUUCGCCUUCAUGAAGCCGGAAUUGCUAGCAAUGGCAGGUCAGCAUACUGCCGUGAAUACGUUCCCGGGCCUUGUACACACCGCCCGUCACACCAUGAGAGUUGGGGAUACCCGAAGCCUGUGAACUAACAGUAAUGGAGCAGCAGUCGAAGGUAGAAUCAAUGAUUGGGGUGAAGUCGUAACAAGGUAGC